CCCUUAGAUGUUCUGGGCCGCACGCACGCUACACUGAUGCAUUCAACGAGUCUAAAACCUGCUCUGAUAGGGGUGGGUAAUCUUUUGAAUGUGCAUCGUGAUUGGGAUAGAUGAUUGCAAUUUUUCAUCUUCAACGAGGAAUGCCUAGUAAACGCAAGUCAUCAGCUUGCAUUGAUUACGUCCCUGCCCUUUGUACACACCGCCCGUCGCUCCUACCGAUUGAAUGAUCCGAUGAAUAUCAUGGAUUGAGGAUGCAAGUAGGUUAGCCUAUCUUCAUCUUCGAGAAGUGAAGUAAAUCUUAUCAUUUAGAGGAAGGAGAAGUCGUAACA
rnacentral:rRNA from 1 species